rnacentral:tRNA from 1 species
GGUUCCAUAGGAGAAUGGCUAAUCCAUCCGAAUGUCUGUCGGAAGAUUGAGGGUUCAAAUCCCUCUGGAACUG